GACGAACGCUGGCGGCGUGCUUAACACAUGCAAGUCGAACGGAAAGGCCCUGCUUUUGUGGGGUGCUCGAGUGGCGAACGGGUGAGUAACACGUGAGUAACCUGCCCUUGACUUUGGGAUAACUUCAGGAAGCUGGGGCUAAUACCGGAUAGGAGCUCCUGCUGCAUGGUGGGGGUUGGAAAGUUUCGGCGGUUGGGGAUGGACUCGCGGCUUAUCAGCUUGUUGGUGGGGUAGUGGCUUACCAAGGCUUUGACGGGUAGCCGGCCUGAGAGGGUGACCGGCCACAUUGGGACUGAGAUACGGCCCAGACUCCUACGGGAGGCAGCAGUGGGGAAUAUUGCACAAUGGGCGGAAGCCUGAUGCAGCAACGCCGCGUGCGGGAUGACGGCCUUCGGGUUGUAAACCGCUUUCGCCUGUGACGAAGCGUGAGUGACGGUAAUGGGUAAAGAAGCACCGGCUAACUACGUA
rnacentral:rRNA from 1 species